rnacentral:rRNA from 1 species
GACGAACGCUGGCGGCGUGCUUAAUACAUGCAAGUCGAACGGAAAGGCCCUGCUUUUGUGGGGUGCUCGAGUGGCGAACGGGUGAGUAACACGUGAGUAACCUGCCCUUGACUUUGGGAUAACUUCAGGAAACUGGGGCUAAUACCGGAUAGGAGCUCCUGCUGCAUGGUGGGGGUUGGAAAGUUUCGGCGGUUGGGGAUGGACUCGCGGCUUAUCAGCUUGUUGGUGGGGUAGUGGCUUACCAAGGCUUUGACGGGUAGCCGGCCUGAGAGGGUGACCGGCCACAUUGGGACUGAGAUACGGCCCAGACUCCCACGGGAGGCAGCAGUGGGGAAUAUUGCACAAUGGGCGGAAGCCUGAUGCAGCAACGCCGCGUGCGGGAUGACGGCCUUCGGGUUGUAAACCGCUUUCGCCAGUGACGAAGCGUGAGUGACGGUAAUGGGUAAAGAAGCACCGGCUAACUACGUG